rnacentral:rRNA from 1 species
AGGAGAAAGAUUUAUUGCCGAGGGAGCGGCCCGCGUUGGAUUAGGUAGUUGGUGANGUAAAGGCUCACCAAGCCGAUGAUCCAUAGCUGGUUUGAGAGGAUGAUCAGCCACACUGGGACUGANACACGGCCCANACUCCUACGGGAGGCAGCAGUGGGGAAUAUUGGACAAUGGGGGCAACCCUGAUCCAGCAAUGCCGCGUGAGUGAUGAAGGCCUUCGGGUUGUAAAGCUCUUUUGUCAGGGACNAUAA